rnacentral:lncRNA from 1 species
CUCCGGCCAAAAGAGGCGCGGGCGGGGAGAGAGCGGCCAACUCCGCCAGAGAGAGAAGGAGAGGGAGGGAAAGGAGGGAUGUGCCUCCGCACACACGUUGCCCAGAGCGAAAUGCGCGCUCCUCCCUCAAGUCAAGGAGUUGCCAUACAAAACGCGCCCUGCUCCGCACACGAGGCGCAUCUCUUCUCGCCCCCUCACAAGCCCCAACGCAGGGAGAAAGCAGGCUCGACGGUAUUCCGGGUUUAAAUGUCGAAAUUCAAAAGCGGCUGAGGGGAAGCUGAAACUUUUUUUCCCCUCACGCUCCACGGCGGGAAUGUUGCCCCAAAGCUGCGGCCACAGAAAAAAAGAGAAAGGGGCGGGGAGGCGAGGCGGCGCAGGGUGCCUCCAAGUGGGGCCAAAAGUUUCUCCUCCUCCUCUCCUCUGCCUCUCCUCCUCCUCGUCCUCCUCCUCGGCGCAGCUUCUCCGCAGCCGCCCAGCUCCGCCGCCAGCCGCACAAGGGAAGGAAAAAGAGAGAAACACACGCGGGCGAGUCGGGUGUGCGCGGACGGAGAUUGACAAGCCUCUCCUCCAAUCCAAGGGAGGCGCCGGCCCGGAGUGUGUGGGGCUAACAAAUCUAUGGCUGUUCAGACACUCUGCCCAUAAAUCCCUGUUCAUGGGCACUAGAUCACUCCAAGCAGCUAUGAAAGCUUAUACAAUUUCUACAAUAUCUUUCUCUCAGUCUCAAAGUGUUUAUUGAGUUUUCGACGUUAAAUACAGUGAAAGUGUGAGAACAAAAUGUGUUGCAAAAGAAAAGAGUGAAACAUAGCCAAAAAGGAAAAAGGAGGAACGGGGGCAGAGAGGGAGAAAAAGAUAGAACAAAAAGAGAAAAAAAACCUCGACUUCCCAUCAGUCUCUCAAGGGUGCAAAACUCGUCAUUUGCAGUUCUUCUAUCCAUCAAUUCCAAGCUACCCGAUUCUGCCGCCUGCUUUAUAAACCAGACGUAUCUAUUAAAAAUGUAUUUCCAUUCUUCUGAAUAAAGUCUCUAAAACCUGACCAAUCAGUUUUCUUAUUCCCGUCACUCAAUUUUUGACUCAGAAAGUCCAUCUGUAUUAUGUCCAAUACUUUGAGGACCCAAUCGUCUAUGUUUGGUAUUUUCUUUUCUUUCCAUACUUUCGCUAAUACAAGUCUUGCUGCAGUGCUCAGAUGAAAAAAAAAAUCUAUCUUGGCUUUCAUUCAAUUUGGAAUUUGUUAAGCCCAAUAGGUACAUUUUAGGAUCUAAUUAAAAUUUUAUUUUUAAUAUUUCUUGCGUCUUUUGGUGGAUCUUAUCCCAAUUUUUUUAAACUUUUUUGCAUUCCCACCAUUGAUAUAUAAACGUUCCGAUUUUUCUUCCACAUUUC